rnacentral:tRNA from 1 species
UGCCGCAUAGCUCAGCAGGUAGAGCAGCUGACUGUUAAUCAGCGGGUCGUAGGUUCGAAUCCUACUGCGGCAGCCA